UCUAUACGGUGAAACUGCGAAUGGCUCAUUAAAUCAGUUAUCGUUUAUUUGAUAGUACCUUGCUACAUGGAUACCUGUGGUAAUUCUAGAGCUAAUACAUGCUAAAAACCUCGACUUCGGAAGGGGUGUAUUUAUUAGAUAAAAAACCAAUGCCCUUCGGGGCUCCUUGGUGAUUCAUAAUAACUUAACGAAUCGCAUGGCCUUGCGCCGGCGAUGGUUCAUUCAAAUUUCUGCCCUAUCAACUUUCGAUGGUAGGAUAGUGGCCUACCAUGGUGGCAACGGGUAACGGGGAAUUAGGGUUCGAUUCCGGAGAGGGAGCCUGAGAAACGGCUACCACAUCCAAGGAAGGCAGCAGGCGCGCAAAUUACCCAAUCCCGACACGGGGAGGUAGUGACAAUAAAUACUGAUACAGGGCUCUUUUGGGUCUUGUAAUCGGAAUGAGUACAAUCUAAAUCCCUUAACGAGGAACAAUUGGAGGGCAAGUCUGGUGCCAGCAGCCGCGGUAAUUCCAGCUCCAAUAGCGUAUAUUAAAGUUGUUGCAGUUAAAAAGCUCGUAGUUGAACCUUGGGUCUGGCUGGCCGGUCCGCCUCACCGCGAGUACUGGUCCGGCUGGACCUUUCCUUCUGGGGAACCCCAUGGCCUUCACUGGCCGUGGCGGGGAACCAGGACUUUUACUGUGAAAAAAUUAGAGUGUUCAAAGCAGGCCUUUGCUCGAAUACAUUAGCAUGGAAUAAUAGAAUAGGACGUGCGGUUCUAUUUUGUUGGUUUCUAGGACCGCCGUAAUGAUUAAUAGGGAUAGUCGGGGGCGUCAGUAUUCAGCUGUCAGAGGUGAAAUUCUUGGAUUUGCUGAAGACUAACUACUGCGAAAGCAUUCGCCAAGGAUGUUUUCAUUAAUCAGGGAACGAAAGUUAGGGGAUCGAAGACGAUCAGAUACCGUCGUAGUCUUAACCAUAAACUAUGCCGACUAGGGAUCGGACGGUGUUCUAUGAUGACCCGUUCGGCACCUUACGAGAAAUCAAAGUUUUUGGGUUC
rnacentral:rRNA from 1 species